rnacentral:rRNA from 1 species
GAUGAACGCUGGCGGCGUGCCUAAUACAUGCAAGUCGAACGAACAGACGAGGAGCUUGCUCCUCUGACGUUAGCGGCGGACGGGUGAGUAACACGUGGAUAACCUACCUAUAAUACUGGGAUAACUUCGGGAAACCGGAGCUAAUACCGGAUAAUAUAUUGAACCGCAUGGUUCAAUAGUGAAAGACGGUUUUGCUGUCACUUAUAGAUGGAUCCGCGCCGCAUUAGCUAGUUGGUAAGGUAACGGCUUACCAAGGCGACGAUGCGUAGCCGACCUGAGAGGGGGGUCGGCCGCACGGGAGGGUGACCGCGGUCAAUGGUACUGAGGGACGCAGCAGUAGGGUAUCGGCCGCAGCAGGCGGAAGCUUGGCGGAGCGAGGCGGCGUGAGAUGUGAAGAUGUUCGGAGCGUGAAACUCUGUUACGAGGGAAGAACAAAUGUGUAAGGUGAUAAGGACGUCUUGACGGUAACUGAUCAGAAAGCAACGGCUAACUACGUG